CCCUUAGAUGUUCUGGGCUGCACGCGCACUACACUGAAGCGUUCAACGAGUAUUCACCUUGCCCGGGAGGGUUGGGCAAUCUUUUUAAAAUGCAUCGUGAUGGGGAUAGAUUAUUGCAAUUAUUAAUCUUCAACGAGGAAUUCCUAGUAAGCGCGAGUCAUCAGCUCGUGCUGAUUACGUCCCUGCCCUUUGUACACACCGCCCGUCGCUCCUACCGAUUGAGUGCUCAGGUGAAUAAUUCGGACUGCAGCAAUGUUUGGAUCCCGAACGUUGUAGCGGAAAGUUUAGUGAACCUUAUCACUUAGAGGAAGGAGAAGUCGUAACA
rnacentral:rRNA from 1 species